UCCCGCAUGGUGUAGCGGUCAACAUUGCCGCUUUUCAUUCGGCCGUUUCCCGGAUGGUGUAACGGUUCUAAUAAUCAGCGCGGCAGCCCGGGGUUCGAUUCCCCGUACGGGAA